rnacentral:rRNA from 1 species
GAAGGAUCAUUACUGACAAUUAACUAUUUUAAGUUUUUUAUAUCCCAUUGUUUACUUACCCUGUUGCUUUCACUGGACAGAUUUCACCUUGUGUGGGUCCUUUGGCUUGUGUGAAAUACCACUUGCCAAAGAGUUGCCAGUGGUAAGACCUAUUUAUCAAAACUUGAGUUUCAAUAAACACAACUGUCUGAAUAUUUUUUUUCUUUAAUGAAAUAAAACUUUCAACAACGGAUCUCUAGGCUCUUGCAUCGAUGAAGAACGCAGUGAAAUGCGAUAAGUAAUGUGAAUUGCAGAAUCUCGUGAAUCAUUGAAUCUUUGAACGCACAUUGCGCCCUAUGGUAUUCCAUUGGGCAUGCCUGUCUGAGCGUCAGCUCCCCCUCCACUCAAGAAUCAUUUUAUAUGAUACUUGGAUUACUUUGGAGAUGUAACUGUAUAUUAAGUUGCCCUCCAGAAAUUUAUUGGCAGUAUGGCCCUUUGUACUUGGACCAGACGUAAUAGUAAUAAAAUCGUUUGUUUGGGCCUUUAUAAUUGAUUGUACUUGCCCUUAACCCCCCACCCCAUUUUUAUUUUGGGUGACCUCAGAUCAGGUAGGGUAUAGCACCGCUGAACUUAAGCAUAUCA